rnacentral:rRNA from 1 species
AGGGCUUGACAUCCCUCUGACGGCUUUAGAGAUAAGGCGUCCCUUCGGGGCAGAGGAGAC